rnacentral:rRNA from 1 species
UACGUAGGGGGCUAGCGUUGUCCGGAUUUAUUGGGCGUAAAGAGCGUGUAGGCGGCCAGGUAGGUCUGGUGUGAAAACUCGAGGCUUAACCUCGAGAUGUCAUCGGAAACCAUCUGGCUAGAGUCCGGAAGAGGAGAGUGGAAUUCCUGGUGUAGCGGUGAAAUGCGCAGAUAUCAGGAAGAAAACCAAUGGCGAAAGCAGCUCUCUGGGACGGUACUGACGCUGAGACGCGAAAGCGUGGGGAGCGAACAGG